UAAAACUCAAACUUCUAUUAUCGAUGAAAACAAACAAACAAACACGCAGACACGUCCAUAAUCAAGUUUCAAAUACACACACCCAUACACUACUAGAAACAAAGGUAUCAUCGCCAGACAAUUUCGUUACUGUUAUCAACGACAAAUUAGCGACGAAAAUGGUCAUCAAAAUUUGUCGCUAAUUGUUAGCAAGGGAUAUAACGACGAAUUUGCGACAACACAAAUUACUCAUGGAACCUCUAGAUUUCAUUGCUAAUGACCGUCAGUAAUCGGUUGCUGAUUAGCUCAGGGAAUCCAUCGAGUUUGUUGUUAAUCUGUCGCUGAUGCCUUUUAUAUAAAUAGUUUUGCCUAUCAAAAAUUACAAAAUAAAAUUCCACUUUUAUACUAAACUAAAUUAAAAUUCAACUACUAAACUAAAUAUUAAUAUUCAACUAUCAAAAUAAAGAUUCAUCGAAACAUCACAAAAAUCAAAUGUCCAUGUCUAAAUCGAUUUCAAAGUAUCGAAACCAAAUCACGAAAAUUAAGUGUCAAAAGUCUAAUUAGUUGUGUAGGAUACUUCCUUGGGUGAGUUUUAGGAUGUCGUUAUACGUCUUGACAAUUUCUUAUUUUUGGACCUCAAUUUCUUCAAGUUCCGACUUCUGCCCUGAACUCAUCAUUUAUUUCCCUAUGAAUACGAUCACCGAUAACCUACAAAGCAAUAAUAAUUAGUUUACCUUAGUUAAGGAAACUACCAUGUUCAAGAAAUCGAAGAAAAUCAAAUUCUUUUGUAGAAAACAACCAGGUCCUAGAAAUCGAAGGAAACUAGGGCUUACCCGAGUGAAUCGCUGGUGUUAGGGGUUGAGCAUCUAACCUUUUGUUCUAGUCUCUUGAUGUUACUGGUAGAGUUGGUUAGAUCGGGGACGGGAGUAGUCGACGACUGACAACGUUUUUGGGAUGAUGACCUCAAUUUGGGAGAGAGAAGAGUAUGUCGAUUUGAGAGGGAACGAGGUACUUUUGUGUGGAAUAAGGAGGAAUGAGAAGCUAAGGAGGGAAACGAAAACCAGCGACCGAUAUUAGGGCUUUAUUUUCGAGAAUCGAUUAGGAAGAGAUUAAUCCCUCUUUAAUUUGUCGCACAUCAGCUGCUAUUCCCUCACUUACUCUUAAUUAGUUUUCGAUAAAUGUAAUUUAUGUCGUUAUUCCCUCUUUAAUUUGUCGCCAGAUUAGCUAUGGAUUAUUCUGUUGUUGAAACUACAGUUUCUACUAAUGAGAUACAUGACAUGUGUUUCAUUUGGGUUUUGUGUGUGUUCAUGUUCAAAUGAUUCAAGAACUUCAACUUCAUAUUUUUGUUGGUUUUGAUAUUAAAAUCGAAGUGAACAAAGAUCAACUACAGUGUUACAAAUUCCAAAACCCAUGAACGCCUUAUUAUUGUUUAAAUAUGUUUUUAUUUGUUUUUUUAUCUACCCUGAUGAACAAACCCUUUUCAAGAACCUAAAAUUUUUGUCUUUCAAAAAUCGAUGAACAAACCUUUGUCAAGAACUCGAAGCUUUCCAUGAUAAACACACAUAGCAUAAAUCUGGCCAAGAACACAUGAAACCAAUCUUUUGGUUGAUUUUUAGAAGAAAUUAAAAUCUAGAACUUUAGGGGGGUGUUUGGAUAAAUAGUUUUUAGUUUAUUACCUUAUUGCUUAUUUGUUUAUUUUGGUGGGAAUAAACACUUUUUUAAAAUAUGUUUGGAUUAGCUUAUUGCAGUAGGAAUAAGCAAUAAGCAAUAAGCGUUUGAAGUGUUUGGC
rnacentral:lncRNA from 1 species